rnacentral:rRNA from 1 species
AUGCAAAAUCUAUUCAAGAUGUCUGACCUUGGAUUGCUCAGUUUCUACCUGGGAAUUGAGGUGAAGCAGAGCGCGCAUGGCAUCGUCAUUAGUCAGAGCGCGUACGCUCGGAAGUUACUUGAGAAGAGCGGCAUGGCAGGAUGCAAGGUGUGCCACAUGCCCAUGGAGCCGCGGUUCAAGCUGUCCAAGCAGAGCACGGCACCGGCAGUUGAUGCAACAGAGUAUCGGAGCAUCGUCGGCAGCCUGCGCUACUUGGUACACACGCGCCCUGACCUGACUUUCUCUGUCGGAUACGUCUCGCGCUUCAUGGAGGCACCAACAGAGGAGCAUCACACCAUCGUCAAACACAUUCUGAGGUACAUCACCGGCACGCUACAGCUGGGGUGCAUGUAUGCCAGAGGGAAAGACGCGGUGUAA